rnacentral:lncRNA from 1 species
AUCACUCCACAACUACUAAUUACCUUUUAUGGCAGGAAUAAUCAACAUCACUCGGCCAACCUAGAAAGCGGCCAACCGAUAGAAGUUACUAGGCAUUGCGUCUCUUUUCUUAUGUCUAUUUUAGACUGUUAUUUCUAGAAAUUACAAAACGUGGUGGCAUUUAUCCUUACUCACACCUAUUUUGUAGAUUUAAGUUUUUUUAUUUCAUUAUCUGAUAAAAAAUACACGCAUUUGGAUGCAUGACGAAAAGAACAAAAUUGUUCCUCAAACUACUAUUUAAAUUAUUCGUUCAUCACAUAUAUCUUUCAAAAAUUAUAUUCCUGCAAAACCCUUAAUCUCUUAGUUUAGAGAAAUAACUAAUGUUGGUUGCUGGAUUCAGGGAAGAUAUGAUGCAAGAGGAUAUUUGACUGCAACGUAUUUGUAAGUUUUUCUAUUUUGACAACUUUUUCAUAAUUGAAUUUAGUUUCAUAGAAUUGUAUCAGUUCCGUGAUCCUGAUUUCUCUUCGCAGUUACAAGUUUAAAACUAACUUGCCCGUGCAACUGCACGGGUUGCCGACUAGUCUUACUAAUAUGUCUUAUAAGAGUGGUCUACUUAGGCAGUGUAGGAGCUGCAAUCAUCUGGUAAUUAAUUGACCUGCUUAAAUAUUUCACCCGAUGAAUAGUUUCACUUGUGAGUUGCUGGUUAUUAUCAAAGAAAGUGACAUAUCUAGCCCGUCUCAAGCACUAGAGUGAUUUCAUUACCACAAUGUUAGAUAGUCUGUUAACAACAUAAAGGAUAUGUAUUGCUUAAUGAUGUGUAAUUUCCAUUCCUUUGAUUUGCACAAAUGGAAAUAGUUCUUAGCAUAGAUAUUGUACAGAAAUAAUGCCUCCUGCUUGCUUGAAAUUUGUCGCGUAUGUGCGUCCUGUAUGAGUUGGAAGUAUGCAUUAGCAUACCAUAUCAAAUAUAUAUAACUCGAUUCUGUUUUCUGUAAUGUCCAGAAUUUUUACAUGUAAAGCAUAACAUAAACUAUGUUUCUGCAGGAACAAACUACAAAAAGUAAGAAUUACAUGAGGUCAUGUCUUUUGUGUCAACAGUGAAGGUUAUAUAUUGUGGCAAGCAUCGAG